rnacentral:rRNA from 1 species
AAACGUAGGGGGCGAGCGUUGUCCGGAAUUACUGGGCGUAAAGGGCGCGCAGGCGGUUAUACAAGUCAGAGGUGAAACCCCCCGGCUCAACCGGAGGCCUGCCUCUGAAACCGUAUGACUUGAGGGCAGGAGAGGGGAGUGGAAUUCCCGGUGUAGCGGUGAUAUGCGUAGAUAUCGGGAGGAACACCAGUGGCGAAGGCGGCUCUCUGGCCUGCUUCUGACGCUGAGGCGCGAAAGCGUGGGUAGCGAACGGGAUUAGAUACCCCGGUAGUCCACGCCGUAAACGAUGGGUGCUAGGUGUAGGAGGUAUCGACCCCUUCUGUGCCGUAGUUAACACAAUAAGCACCCCGCCUGGGGAGUACGGCCGCAAGGUUGAA